rnacentral:lncRNA from 10 species
CUAAAACUUAAAGUAUAAUAAUAAAAAAAAAUUAAAAAAAAAAGAAAAAGCAAAAUGUUAUGACAUCUUCAAAGGGAACACAGUAAUUCUCUAGCAAUGAAUCCUAAAAAAAUGAAUUUUUCAAAUGAUAUGAGACAUUGUCUCUAUAUGCUAUGUUUAUUUUUGUUUCAAUUCUACUGGGUGAACCAGAGAUAUUAUCAGUUCAUACAUAUUAUAUUCUAGGUUGAAGCUGCUGAAUCAAAGAUAUAGUAUGAGUGUAAACUGCUAAAUUUGCUUAAACAUAGGGUUUUGCCACAAAAUUUUACUUUAGUGUUUUUUUUUUCCUCUUAUUCCUACCCAAACUUUUAAAGCAAGGAACUAGACAGGAAGAAAACACACACACACUCACAAACAAACAAACAAACAAAACCUUUGUAAUCUCUCUGUGGUAGUUGUAAACGUAUGUUUGGCCUUUUGGUGGCAUUUAUUUUUAAGCUUCACCUUUCUUAUCUAGAAUCAUGGCCUCAUCUGAUGAAUUUCUGUAGGCAUGUAAUCUUAGGUCCUUCUAUUAUUGGUACAGGAAUAGGCAUGUUCACUCACACUUAACAGUAUGUUUUUAAAUAAUUUUUAAAUUGAACUUCAAUGUAUUCCUUAUUUUUUUAAUUCAGUCAUGCAUUUAAAUGGAUACAGGCAAUAUUUUAGUAAGAAUCUCUAGGCAAAUUUUAGCACAAGGUCUUACAUGUUUCAUUUAGUUUGUUUUAUUGCUAGAAACAAUUUAUGACUGAUUUAUGUGUGAAUAGCCUUGUUUUAUGCUUUGAAAAUGUCCUCUCAAAAAAUCAAUUGCAGAAACUUAAUUGCUAAUGUAAUAGUAUUAAGAAGUUGGCUCUUUAAAAGAUGAUCCUGUCAUGGGAGCUCCACCCUUGUGAAUGGGAAGGUUCUUAUGAAAGAGGCUUCACUCUGCACUCAGCUUUCUUGUCCUUCUAUCUCUGCUUUGUGAGGACACCGUAUCCUUCUCCUACAAAGAAUGCAGCAACCAAGUAUCUUGGAAUCAGAGAGCAGCCCUGACCAGAUAACCAAACACGCCAGUGCCUUGACUUUGAACUUUGCAGCCUCCAGAACUGUGAGAAAACAAAUUUCUGCUUUUUAUAAAUUAUCCGGUUUCAGGUAUUCUGUUAUAGCAGCACAAACAGGACACCUUUGUAAUCUCUCUGUAUCUGUAGAGACUGUAUGGUCUGCUUUAUGUGAAUGGCUGCAUACAAUGCUAAUGUUCUCCAUUGAGGCUUUCUUAUAGAAGAAAAAUUAAGGUCUAGCCCUGUUCACAUAGGAGUAAUAAUUAAAUAAUAUUAUAAGAGGGUAGAUACUGAGCCAUAGGCUGGUACUUUCACUAGAUUAGCCAUUCUCGUGUGGAUUUCCAUGCAAUGGAGGUUUAGCUCCACUGCUUUCUUUUUUGGGGGGAAGACAUCAGGACCAAAAGUUGUAAAACUUUUACAAAAGUAGCCUCAGUGGAGAGCACCAGCAUAACGAGUAAAUUCUUUCUUUUUUUUUUCAGAACAGGGACAAAAGCAGAAAUCAGGUUAUCUUUAUAAACAAGUAACAAUAUAUGUUAAGUAAAUUUUUUUUGGAUUUUGUAUUCCUUUAUUUGUAAAAUGAGUCAAAAAUGACUUUAAAAGUACCUUUUGCCUUUCAAUUUCUAUGAAUCAUAGCAAGUUGAGUAUAUUUUGUGGUAGAAGAUUAAUUUUGUGCAGUCAUACUAUGUAGGUGAUUUAAUAUCAAACCUAUUUAGUAACAACAUAUAAUUUUCAGACCAAUAAGUACAGUGUUAUUUAUGUAGGCUUAACAUGCAAAAUGGUUGUGUUUUGAAUUAUGACCUAGAAAAAUUAAGCAACAAUCUAAUGGUUUUCACUGACAUUUAAUUCCACAAUAACUGAUUACAGUAUUAUUUUUCCAUUAUAUAUUUGAGCCUAAUAUAACUUUAUAGUGUUAUAAAUAAUUUAGCUUUCUUUCUUAGUGUUUCUUUUGGUAUAUCAAUAUUCUAUAGAAUUCACGCAUUGCACUUAUAUUUUUUAUGUUAACAUAAUUUAUCUCAUGUUACAUUUUAAUCACCUUGUUAUAUUCUUUAAAAUUCAACUAGCAUAUUAAUUUAACUUUAUUGGCAUAAUUUAUCUACAUUAUUUUCUCUUUAAUUUGUAGAGGUGGAAGGAAACAUUUAAUGUAUUCAUGUUACAAAUUGAUGUCCAAUAAAUCUAUGCUUAUGGAAACAAUAAAUAAGAAACUUAUUUCUAAAAAUUAUGGCAUUAUUUUAAUUUCAUCUUAAAGUGAAAUUUUAAAAAUAAUAUCCUUGAUGUUUUAAUAAUUUGACACUGAUUUUUACUGAACUCUGGUCUAAUUUUAAUUAUACAUGUAAAGUUUAUACAUUUAAUGAAGAACAACUCCAUCCUAUUUUGAAAAAAUCUGUUAUAAAAUGUCUAGGUAAUUCCCAUGAAAACAUAUUUACCUAAAUUUUGCAAUAAGAAUACAAUUUAUAAGGUUAAAAACUAAAAUGACUACUCUUAAAUUAAUGCAGCAAUUAUUCGAUGUUCCAACAACAUCCUGAUAACAUAUGUAACAAAUUUUGUUUUAUCUUCAACUAUUGUUGCUUAAAGUGAAUACUUCUUUUAAAUAUUUUGAUAUUACAAUUAAUUUAAAUAUUUUUUAUUUUUAAGUAUCUCGUUUGUUAUAGUAGUAAACAUUGUACUAUUCUUUAUGUCUAUCUAAGAAUGCCCUGAUUUAGUUUGUUUGUAACACUGAGAUAUAUAAUUUAGAAUGAAAAUGUGUUUACUGUUCAGUUGUUUCCAAAAGAUUUAUUUAAUAAUAGAAAAUGGUGUAAUAGUUAUUAUGCAUUCAAUAUAUAUUUACUUUGGGAAAACUGAAAAGGUUGUUUAUAUAUAUUAUAAAAUAUAUAUAAAUAAUAUAAGAAGUAAAGUUAUCAGUAAUAAAAUUAAUAAAAUAAAUGAAAAGAAUAUAUAUUGAUAACUUAAUGUUAUAAAUGAGAAAAACAUGUUUUAGGUGUCAAUGUAAAAAAUAAAAAGAAAAAUUAAAUAACUCACGUUCUCUGAUGGAAGUGUUGUAAAGCUCAUUAAACAUGGGCAAAUACAAAAUCCAUAAACACCUGAAAAAAAAGCCAAUAAAUAAUAAAUUGACAAUUAAAAUUAAAAAAUUCUCUGAAAACCUUGUAAACAUGUCUUAUAGUAAUAACAUAUCGAGUGGGAAAUACUGUAAAAAUGGACAACUGAUAAACUAUUGACUUUUUUCUUUUUUGAGAUGAAUUCUUGUUCUGUCACCCAGGCUGGAGUGCAGUGGUGCAAUCUCGCUUACUGCAACCUCUGCCUCCCGGGUUCAAGUGAUUCUCUCCUGCCUCAGCCUCCUGAGUAGCUGGGAUUACAGGCAGGUGCCACCACGCCUGGCUAAUUUUUGUAUUUUUAGUAGAGACGGG